AGAGUUUGAUCCUGGCUCAGGACGAACGCUGGCGGCGUGCCUAAUACAUGCAAGUAGAACGCUGAAGAAAGGAGCUUGCUUCUUUUGGAUGAGUUGCGAACGGGUGAGUAACGCGUAGGUAACCUGCCUUGUAGCGGGGGAUAACUAUUGGAAACGAUAGCUAAUACCGCAUAACAGCUUUUGACACAUGUUAGAAGCUUGAAAGAUGCAAUUGCAUCACUACGAGAUGGACCUGCGUUGUAUUAGCUAGUAGGUAGGGUAACGGCCUACCUAGGCGACGAUACAUAGCCGACCUGAGAGGGUGAUCGGCCACACUGGGACUGAGACACGGCCCAGACUCCUACGGGAGGCAGCAGUAGGGAAUCUUCGGCAAUGGGGGCAACCCUGACCGAGCAACGCCGCGUGAGUGAAGAAGGUUUUCGGAUCGUAAAGCUCUGUUGUAAGAGAAGAACGUGUGUGAGAGUGGAAAGUUCACACAGUGACGGUAACUUACCAGAAAGGGACGGCUAACUACGUGCCAGCAGCCGCGGUAAUACGUAGGUCCCGAGCGUUGUCCGGAUUUAUUGGGCGUAAAGCGAGCGCAGGCGGUUUAAUAAGUCUGAAGUUAAAGGCAGUGGCUUAACCACUGUUCGCUUUGGAAACUGUUAGACUUGAGUGCAGAAGGGGAGAGUGGAAUUCCAUGUGUAGCGGUGAAAUGCGUAGAUAUAUGGAAGAACACCAGUGGCGAAGGCGGCUUUCUGGUCUGUAACUGACGCUGAGGCUCGAAAGCGUGGGGAGCAAACAGGAUUAGAUACCCUGGUAGUCCACGCCGUAAACGAUGAGUGCUAAGUGUUGGAGGGUUUCCGCCCUUCAGUGCUGCAGCUAACGCAUUAAGCACUCCGCCUGGGGAGUACGACCGCAAGGUUGAAACUCAAAGGAAUUGACGG
rnacentral:rRNA from 1 species